UUGACCUCGGAUCAGGUAGGGAUACCCGCUGAACUUAAGCAUAUCAAUAAGCGGAGGAAAAGAAACCAACAGGGAUUGCCCUAGUAACGGCGAGUGAAGCGGCAACAGCUCAAAUUUGAAAUCUGGCGUCUUCGGCGUCCGAGUUGUAAUUUGCAGAGGGCGCUUUGGCAUUGGCAGCGGUCCAAGUUCCUUGGAACAGGACGUCACAGAGGGUGAGAAUCCCGUACGUGGUCGCUAGCCUUUACCGUGUAAAGCCCCUUCGACGAGUCGAGUUGUUUGGGAAUGCAGCUCUAAAUGGGAGGUAAAUUUCUUCUAAAGCUAAAUACUGGCCAGAGACCGAUAGCGCACAAGUAGAGUGAUCGAAAGAUGAAAAGCACUUUGGAAAGAGAGUUAAAAAGCACGUGAAAUUGUUGAAAGGGAAGCGCUUGCAGCCAGACUUGCCUGUAGUUGCUCAUCCGGGUUUCUACCCGGUGCACUCUUCUACGGGCAGGCCAGCAUCAGUUUGGGCGGUUGGAUAAAGGUCUCUGUCAUGUACCUCUCUUCGGGGAGAACUUAUAGGGGAGACGACAUGCAACCAGCCCUGGACU
rnacentral:rRNA from 1 species